rnacentral:lncRNA from 1 species
AAAUCCCAAACCGUAAAUCAUAAAAGGAUCAGACAGCAAAGAGUACUCAAAAGCUGAUUUAUUGAGAUCCUGAUUAGUUUGAAGUAACUAGAAUCUUGAUCAAACAGUGACAAGACCCAAGAUUUGUUUUACUCUAAAGUGAGAAAUUAUCCUCAACAAAAAAACAUUUCACAGUGAGAAUCAGAAGAAUAUUUGCAUCAGGCAACUCUGGGUGCUAGAUAUUUAUUUUUUCUUUUUCACAUGAACUAUAAAAACUUACCACAAAAGAUUGAUCUCCAUAACUGCUUAUACUCUAGAAUUAUUAUACAUUGCACUGUUCUUGCUAAUACUCCAAAGACAUGCAGAAAAUAGAAAGGUAAGUUUGCAGGGGGAAAAAAGAACAAUGGAAUGAAGAAGCAAACAGGGAGUUAAAAUAACUCCCUGGAAUAGUAGAAUCAGGAAAGCAAAGGUAAAGCAUUAAAGACUAAGGACUGCGUGACUCCUAAGGGGAAAAUGCAUUCUUUUAUUUUGCACUGAGAUUAAAUUUGCUGAUUUUUUU